GAUGAACGCUGGCGGCGUGCCUAAUACAUGCAAGUCGAGCGAACAGACGAGGAGCUUGCUCCUCUGACGUUAGCGGCGGACGGGUGAGUAACACGUGGAUAACCUACCUAUAAGACUGGGAUAACUUCGGGAAACCGGAGCUAAUACCGGAUAAUAUAUUGAACCGCAUGGUUCAAUAGUGAAAGACGGUUUUGCUGUCACUUAUAGAUGGAUCCGCGCCGCAUUAGCUAGUUGGUAAGGUAACGGCUUACCAAGGCAACGAUGCGUAGCCGACCUGAGAGGGUGAUCGGCCACACUGGAACUGAGACACGGUCCAGACUCCUACGGGAGGCAGUAGUAGGGAAUCGGCCGCAAUGGGCGAAAGCCUGACGGAGCAACGCCGCGUGAGUGAUGAAGGUCUUCGGAUCGUAAAACUCUGUGAUUAGGGAAGAACAAAUGUGUAAGUAACUAUGCACGUCUUGACGGUACCUAAUCAGAAAGCCACGGCUAACUACGUG
rnacentral:rRNA from 1 species